CAGGCCUAACACAUGCAAGUCGAGCGGUAACAGGUGUAGCAAUACAUGCUGACGAGCGGCGAACGGGUGAGUAAUGCUUCGGAAUCUACCUUAUGGUGGGGAAUAACUAGCCGAAAGGUUAGCUAAUACCGCAUACGUCCUACGGGAGAAAGCAGGGGAUCGCAAGACCUUGCGCCAAAAGAUGAGCCGAAGUCGGAUUAGCUAGUUGGUAGGGUAACGGCCUACCAAGGCGACGAUCCGUAGCUGGUCUGAGAGGACGACCAGCCACACUGGGACUGAGACACGGCCCAGACUCCUACGGGAGGCAGCAGUGGGGAAUAUUGGACAAUGGGGGAAACCCUGAUCCAGCGACGCCGCGUGUGUGAAGAAGGCCUGCGGGUUGUAAAGCACUUUUAGUGGGGAUGAAAUGUGCAGGGCUAACACCUCUGCAUUUUGACCUAACCCACAGAAAAAGCACCGGCUAACUCUGUGCCAGCAGCCGCGGUAAU
rnacentral:rRNA from 1 species